rnacentral:rRNA from 1 species
CACGUGGCUAACCUACCCUCAGGACGGGGACAAACCCGGGAAACUGGGGCUAAUACCCGAUAGGCGAGGGCACCUGGAAUGGUUCUUCACCCAAAGGGCUUUGGAAGCAUGCUUUUCAAAGUCGCCCGAGGAUGGGGCCGCGUCCGAUCAGGUUGUUGGUGAGGUAACGGCUCACCAAGCCUAUAACCGGUACGGGCCGUGAGAGCGGUAGCCCGGAGAUGGGCACUGAUACAAGGGCCCAUGCCCUACGGGGCGCAGCAGUCGCGAAAACUCCGCAAUGCACGAAAGUGUGACGGGGCUACCCCGAGUGCCGUCCGCUGAGGAUGGCUUUUCCUCGGUGUAACUAGCCGGGGGAAUAAGGAGAGGGCAAGACUGGUGUCAGCCGCCGCGGUAAUACCAGCUCUCCGAGUGGUAGGGAUGAUUAUUGGGCUUAAAGCGUCCGUAGCCGGCUUAGCAAGUCUCCUGUUAAAUUCAGCGACCUAAUCGUUGAUCC